rnacentral:rRNA from 1 species
AUUGAACGCUGGCGGCAUGCCUUACACAUGCAAGUCGAACGGUAACAGGUUAAGCUGACGAGUGGCGAACGGGUGAGUAAUACAUCGGAACGUGCCCAGUAGUGGGGGAUAGCCCGGCGAAAGCCGGAUUAAUACCGCAUACGACCUACGGGUGAAAGGGGGGGAUCGCAAGACCUCUCGCUAUUGGAGCGGCCGAUGUCAGAUUAGGUAGCUGGUGGGGUAAAGGCCCACCAAGCCGACGAUCUGUAGCUGGUCUGAGAGGACGACCAGCCACACUGGGACUGAGACACGGCCCAGACUCCUACGGGAGGCAGCAGUGGGGAAUUUUGGACAAUGGGCGCAAGCCUGAUCCAGCCAUGCCGCGUGCGGGAAGAAGGCCUUCGGGUUGUAAACCGCUUUUGUCAGGGAAGAAAUCCUUUGGGCUAAUACCUCGGGGGGAUGACGGUACCUGAAGAAUAAGCACCGGCUAACUACGUGCCAGCAGCCGCCGCCGUAA